AUUGAACGCUGGCGGCAUGCCUUACACAUGCAAGUCGAACGGCAGCACGGGUGCUUGCACCUGGUGGCGAGUGGCGAACGGGUGAGUAAUGCAUCGGAACGUACCCGGAAGUGGGGGAUAACGUAGCGAAAGUUACGCUAAUACCGCAUAUUCUGUGAGCAGGAAAGAGGGGGAUCGCGAGACCUCUCGCUUUCGGAGCGGCCGAUGUCGGAUUAGCUAGUUGGCGGGGUAAGAGCCCACCAAGGCGACGAUCCGUAGCGGGUCUGAGAGGAUGAUCCGCCACACUGGGACUGAGACACGGCGCAGACUCCUACGGGAGGCAGCAGUGGGGAAUUUUGGCCAAUGGGCGCAAGCCUGAUCCAGCCAUGCCGCGUGAGUGAAGAAGGCCUUCGGGUUGUAAAGCUCUUUCGGCUGGGAAGAAAUCGCAUCUCCUAAUACGGGGUGUGGAUGACGGUACCAGCAUAAGAAGCACCGGCUAACUACGUGCCAGCCGCCGCCGUAACAC
rnacentral:rRNA from 1 species